rnacentral:rRNA from 1 species
AACCAGACUCCUACGGGAGGCAGCAGUCGGGAAUAUUGCGCAAUGGAGGAAACUCUGACGCAGUGACGCCGCGUAUAGGAAGAAGGUUUUCGGAUUGUAAACUAUUGUCAUUAGGGAAGAAAAAAGACAGUACCUAAGGAGGAGGCUCCGGCUAACUACGUGCCAGCAGCCGCGGUAAUACGUAGGGAGCAAGCGUUAUCCGGAAUUAUUGGGUGUAAAGGGUGCGUAGACGGGAAAAUAAGUUAGUUGUGAAAUCCCUCGGCUCAACUGAGGAACUGCAACUAAAACUGUAUUUCUUGAGUGCAGGAGAGGAAAGUGGAAUUCCUAGUGUAGCGGUGAAAUGCGUAGAUAUUAGGAGGAACACCAGUGGCGAAGGCGACUUUCUGGACUGCAACUGACGUUGAGGCACGAAAGUGUGGGUAGCGAACGGGAUUAGAUACCCCGGUA